AUUGAACGCUGGCGGCAGGCUUAACACAUGCAAGUCGAGCGGAGUGAUGGCGCUUGCACUAUCACUUAGCGGCGGACGGGUGAGUAAUGCUUAGGAAUCUGCCAUUUAGUGGGGGACAACAUUCCGAAAGGAAUGCUAAUACCGCAUACGUCCUACGGGAGAAAGCAGGGGAUCUUCGGACCUUGCGCUAAAUGAUGAGCCUAAGUCGGAUUAGGUAGUUGGUGGGGUAAAGGCCUACCAAGGCGACGAUCUGUAGCGGGUCUGAGAGGAUGAUCCGCCACACUGGGACUGAGACACGGCCCAGACUCCUACGGGAGGCAGCAGUGGGGAAUAUUGGACAAUGGGCGGAAGCCUGAUCCAGCCAUGCCGCGUGUGUGAAGAAGGCCUUUUGGUUGUAAAGCACUUUAAGCGAGGAGGAGGCUACUAGUACUAAUACUACUGGAUAGUGGACGUUACUCGCAGAAUAAGCACCGGCUAACUCUGUGCCAGCCGCCGCCGUAAAAC
rnacentral:rRNA from 1 species